AUGCAGGCUUUGCUGGAGCAUCUACAAGAGAGCGGGACUAUCUGAACAGUAGGGGUUGAGGUCUCUGAUCCAGGAAUUAGAGAUUGGGGUGGAAGCAUUUUUCCCCCUAACACCAACAUGGUGGGACUUCAGAAGCAGCCUAGCAGCCCACAAAAGUGGGACCACUUAUACCGAGCCCUGCCACUCUGUGCCUGGCAACUGCUUAUUGACUGAGGCAAGAGUGACUGUGAGCCAAAGCAGCCUGCCUCCCCUCCAGAAGACCAGCACAGCCACCACCCUCCAGACUUUGAAUAAGUUUUCAUCAUCAAAGAGUGUUGGAUUUUGAAACAUUCUUCAUUAGUUUCCAAUGGCUGCUCUAAAAAAUUACUACAAAUUUGGUGGCUUCAAACAACACACAUUUAUUCUCUUUGGAGGCCAAAAGUCUGACAUCGGUUUCACUGGGCUGAGAUGAAGGCUUCAACAUGGCUGCACUCUCUCCAGAGUCUGCAGAGAGACCAUCACUGCCUAUGCCUCAAGAGUGACAAUCAGACCACCAUGCUGGUAUCCUUCAAAUCACAGGACAGCCCACAAGCCAACUGCAGUAAGCUGUCAAUGAAAAUAUCUAUAGAGAGAGUAGUGUCCCUUGUGUGUUGUUCCUCCAUCCCUUCAGACCUCCAGAGCUGCUGAGUGAUCAGAAGGAGACUGCUUCCUCCAGGGGCUGCUUCUCUGUGAGGGCUUCUAAAAUAAACCCUGAUUCUCAA